AGAUAGUCCUGGGCCAGCAUGUGAAUAUAUCCAAACUCGCCGUCAGUCAUGGUCUUCCUGCUGGAGAGCCAAGCCUUGAGCUUACUCGCCUGGAAGUGACCGAGGCAGUCCGAAACGAAAGCUCACAGAGCUUGGCGAGGUGGAGUAACUUUUACUCUUUGCAACAGUGUCUAUGAACAGCUGCAAACAGAAGGGAAAAAAAUCUCACGUAACUUGUAUUUCUGAACUAUCAGUAAAGGUCUAAGGAGAAAGGGAGAGAGGCUGCUGAGGGUGCUGGUUCACAGGGACUUGCAGUGGCCAUGAAAAUGCACCUCUCAGACCUUGUACCACAGGAAUGUCAUUAACUCAGGGCCCCAGGUGCUGGGCCCUGGAUCUACGGACAAAAUUUGCACUGAGGCCACGCCACCCUCAGGCUGUCCUCAGGCAACGACUUAGCAAGGCAGGACUAGUAAGAGCGGUUCCUGUAAGUCAGCCUCCUUUGCAAGGUUACUUUGAUUCAAUGACUUGCCAUCAGCUUUGUGGUGACUUUUCUAGACUGUCCUACAGCCUGAGACUCUUCCUACCCAACCUUCCUUCCUUCUCUCCCCUCUUCACCCAGGUCAGCCCUGCACUGUGGUCUGACAGCUCCCCCAGCCGCUUCCACCUCCCUCCCCAUUUUCCCUCAUGGGCAUUCCCCCACCCCCGCCCCGCAACGGCUCUUACACAUCUGAUCCUUGCUUGAGAUUUUCUUGGUGGAGUUCUAAACUGACAUGGGACCUACAGAACAAAGGAGCUUACAGACAUGUGGUCAAGCCACUUCUCCAGGAUUUCCCCUGAGAACGCCCUCCCCUCCCCUCCUAGACGACGCCUGUUGGCCCACAGGCACAUGAAACCAUGUGCAGGCAGCUCUCUCUCCUCAAAUCACCUUCAAGCAUCAUAAGAACCACCAGAAGGAUGGGAAAUUUUAUUUUCUCCCCCCAUUACAUUCCCAGGGUGAUGAGCAUUUCUGGAGAAACAGUGUAGUAAUAAGCAUGUGGAUUAAGAGUUGCAACGAAGCUUUCCAAGAUCAGAGCCUGCCUUUUUUCUCUCCCUUGCCAGUGCCCACGCCUGGACCUAGGGGAGGCAGGCAGUUGAUCUUUGUUGAACAAAUGAAACGCACACGUAUCGCAGCUGGACCAGCUACAUUUAGGGCUCUAUAUUCCUAAUCCUCCGGAUCCCAAAAGGAGUUGCUUUUAAAAUUCUUAAAUAUUGAA